rnacentral:rRNA from 1 species
UACGUAGGGGGCGAGCGUUGUCCGGAAUUACUGGGCGUAAAGAGCUCGUAGGUGGUUUGUCGCGUUGUCCGUGAAAACUCACAACUCAAUUGUGGGCGUGCGGGCGAUACGGGCAGACUGGAGUACUGCAGGGGAGACUGGAAUUCCUGGUGUAGCGGUGGAAUGCGCAGAUAUCAGGAGGAACACCGGUGGCGAAGGCAGGUCUCUGGGCCAUAACUGACGCUGAGAAGCGAAAGCAUGGGGAGCGAACAGG